rnacentral:rRNA from 1 species
UACGAAGGGUGCAAGCGUUACUCGGAAUUACUGGGCGUAAAGCGCGCGUAGGCGGCUUUGCAAGUCGAGUGUGAAAUCCCCAGGCUUAACCUGGGAACUGCAUUCGAGACUGCAUAGCUAGAGUAUGGGAGAGGGAAGUGGAAUUUCAGGUGUAGCGGUGAAAUGCGUAGAUAUCUGAAGGAACAUCAGUGGCGAAGGCGGCGAUCUGGGUGGAUACUGACGCUGAGGUGCGAAAGCGUGGGGAGCAAACAGG